rnacentral:rRNA from 1 species
CCAAUAGCGUAUAUUAAAGUUGUUGCAGUUAAAAAGCUCGUAGUUGAAUUUCGGAAUCAAUAUAUCGGUCGUGCCUUGGUACGUACUGGUAUCAUUGGUUUCUCCUUUCUGACGAACCAUGAUGUCAUUAAUUUGGUGUUAUGGGAAGUUAGGACUGUUACUUUGAAAAAAUUAGAGUGUUUAAAGCAGGCUUUAGCUUGAAUACAUUAGCAUGGAAUAAUGAAAUAGGACGUUCGAACCUAUUUUGUUGGUUUCUAGGAUCAACGUAAUGAUUAAUAGGGAUAGUUGGGGGCAUUAGUAUUCAAUUGUCAGAGGUGAAAUUCUUGGAUUUAUUGAAGACUAACUACUGCGAAAGCAUUUGCCAAGGAUGUUUUCAUUAAUCAAGAACGAAAGUUAGGGGAUCGAAGACGAUCAGAUACCGUCGUAGUCUUAACCAUAAACUAUGCCGACUAGGGAUCGGAUGAUGUUAAUUUUUUAAUGACUCAUUCGGCGCCUUAC